rnacentral:misc_RNA from 1 species
GAUGAAGAACGUAGCGAAAUGCGAUAAGUAAUGUGAAUUGCAGAAUUCAGUGAAUCAUCGAAUCUUUGAACGCACAUUGCGCCCGCCAGUAUUCUGGCGGGCAUGCCUGUUCGAGCGUCAUUAUCACCCCUCAAGCCCCCCUGGCUUGGUGUUGGACGGUUUUGGUGGGACGUGCAGCCUCUCACCCCUCCUAAAGACAAUGACGGCGGCGUCGUUGGGACCCCCGGUACACUGAGCUUCUUAACUGAGCACGUACUGGAUGCGGGUACGCGAUGCACGGUCUGCCUCCCCUUUAGGGAGAACUUUUUCUUAAGGUUGACCUCGGAUCAGGUAGGAAUACCCGCUGAACUUAAGCAUAUCAAUAAGCGGAGGA